UACGUAGGGUGCAAGCGUUGUCCGGAAUUAUUGGGCGUAAAGAGCGUGUAGGCGGUCAGGUAGGUCCGUUGUGAAAACUCGAGGCUCAACCUCGAGACGCCGAUGGAAACCAUCUGACUAGAGUCCGGAAGAGGAGAGUGGAAUUCCUGGUGUAGCGGUGAAAUGCGCAGAUAUCAGGAAGAACACCGGUGGCGAAGGCGGGUCUCUGGGCCGAUACUGACGCUGAGGAGCGAAAGCGUGGGGAGCGAACAGG
rnacentral:rRNA from 1 species